rnacentral:lncRNA from 1 species
UGCCAAAUUUAGCUUCGACAUAAAUAGAAAACAGAAAAGGAAGUGCCAACCACACCAACUUCAGCAACUCUCGGUUCUAGAAACAAAUUCCCCCAUCCUAACAACUUUCACAGGCCUACUAAAAUUCAAGAAAUCAUAGGCUAAAAGAGAUGCUACAUGCUGAUGCGAAUAACUACAGAAGUACACACCAGUAAACUUUGAUUAUUUAAGAAGCAUUAGCAAAGUCAAUAAGUA